AGAAAAGGCCUUUCAGGCAUCCUCUCCUAGAAACUUUCAGGGCUGGCCUUCGGACCAGCCCUUUUUUUAUUCGUCC
rnacentral:sRNA from 2 species